rnacentral:rRNA from 1 species
AGAUUGAACGCUGGCGGCAUGCCUUACACAUGCAAGUCGAACGGCAGCACGGGAGCAAUCCUGGUGGCGAGUGGCGAACGGGUGAGUAAUAUAUCGGAACGUGCCCAGUCGUGGGGGAUAACGCAGCGAAAGCUGUGCUAAUACCGCAUACGAUCUCUGGAUGAAAGCGGGGGACUCGCAAGGGCCUCGCGCGAUUGGAGCGGCCGAUAUCAGAUUAGCUAGUUGGUGGGGUAAAAGCUCACCAAGGCGACGAUCUGUAGCUGGUCUGAGAGGACGACCAGCCACACUGGAACUGAGACACGGUCCAGACUCCUACGGGA